rnacentral:rRNA from 1 species
UGACCUCAAAUCAGGCAGGAAUACC